rnacentral:rRNA from 1 species
CACGUAGGGUGCGAGCGUUGUCCGGAAUUAUUGGGCGUAAAGAGCUCGUAGGCGGUGUGUCGCGUCGGCCGUGAAAACCUGCAGCUUAACUGUGGGCUUGCGGUCGAUACGGGCAUCACUGGAGUUCGGCAGGGGAGACUGGAAUUCCUGGUGUAGCAGUGAAAUGCGUAGAGAUCAGGAGGAAUACCGAUGGCGAAGGCAGGUCUCUGGGCUGAUACUGACGCUCAUGCACGAAAGCGUGAGGAGCAAACAGG